rnacentral:siRNA from 1 species
AAGACAAAAAGACUUAGACCAAGU